UACAGAGGGGGCAAGCGUUAUUCGGAAUUAUUGGGCGUAAAGGGCGCGUAGGCGGCCUGGCAAGUGGAAGGUGAAAUCCCUCGGCUUAACCGAGGAACUGCCCUCCAAACUGCUUGGCUUGAGUCCGGGAGAGGUGAGUGGAAUUCCCAGUGUAGCGGUGAAAUGCGUAGAUAUUGGGAGGAACACCAGUGGCGAAGGCGGCUCACUGGCCCAUAACUGACGCUGAGGCACGAAAGCGUGGGGAGCAAACAGG
rnacentral:rRNA from 1 species